rnacentral:rRNA from 1 species
UACGAAGGGGGCUAGCGUUGCUCGGAAUCACUGGGCGUAAAGCGCACGUAGGCGGUUUGCUAAGUCAGGGGUGAAAUCCUGGAGCUCAACUCCAGAACUGCCUUUGAUACUGGCGGACUUGAGUCCGGGAGAGGUGAGUGGAACUGCGAGUGUAGAGGUGAAAUUCGUAGAUAUUAGGAAGAACACCAGUGGCGAAGGCGGCUCACUGGUCCGGUACUGACGCUGAGGUGCGAAAGCGUGGGGAGCAAACAGGG